rnacentral:tRNA from 1 species
GAGAGUAUAGCUCAGUGGUAGAGCAUAUGCCUAGCAUACAUGAGGUCCUGGGUUCAAUCCCCAGUACCUCCU